rnacentral:rRNA from 1 species
GAUGAACGCUGGCGGCGUGCCUAAUACAUGCGAGUCGAGCGAACAGAUAAGGAGCUUGCUCCUUUGACGUUAGCGGCGGACGGGUGAGUAACACGUGGGUAACCUACCUAUAAGACUGGAAUAACUCCGGGAAACCGGGGCUAAUGCCGGAUAACAUUUAGAACCGCAUGGUUCUAAAGUGAAAGAUGGUUUUGCUAUCACUUAUAGAUGGACCCGCGCCGUAUUAGCUAGUUGGUAAGGUAACGGCUUACCAAGGCAACGAUACGUAGCCGACCUGAGAGGGUGAUCGGCCACACUGGAACUGAGACACGGUCCAGACUCCUACGGGAGGCAGCAGUAGGCAAUCUUCCGCAGUGGGCGAAAGCCUGACGGAGCAACGCCGCGUGAGUGAUGAAGGUCUUCGGAUCGUAAAACUCUGUUAUUAGGGAAGAACAAAUGUGUAAGUAACUGUGCACGUCUUGACGGUACCUAAUCAGAAAGCCACGGCUAACUACGUG